rnacentral:rRNA from 1 species
GACGAACGCUGGCGGCGUGCUUAACACAUGCAAGUCGAACGGUGAAGCGCCUUCCUUUUUGGUGGGUGUGGAUGAGUGGCGAACGGGUGAGUAACACGUGAGUAACCUGCCCCCUUCUUCUGGAUAACCGCAUGAAAGUGUGGCUAAUACGGGAUAUUCUGGGUCUGUCGCAUGAUGGGUCUGGGAAAGAUAUUGUUUCGGUGGGGAAUGGGCUCGCGGCCUAUCAGCUUGUUGGUGGGGUGAUGGCCUACCAAGGCGGUGACGGGUAGCCGGCCUGAGAGGGUGGACGGUCACACUGGGACGGAGACACGGCCAAGACUCCUACGGGAGGCAGCAGUGGGGAAUAUUGCACAAUGGGCGCAAGCCUGAUGCAGCGACGCCGCGUGAGGGAUGGAGGCCUUCGGGUUGUGAACCUCUUUCGCCAGUGAAGCAGGCCUGCCUCGUUUGUGGGUGGGUUGACGGUAGCUGGAGAAGAAGCGCCGGCUAACUACGUG